AUGGUUGAGGUGACGUCGUGGGUGGAGGACGUGGAGAAGACGCUGCUGGAAGAGCACGAGCCGUCGUCGGAGGUGGAGCAAUGGCGGAAGCACUCCAUCUACCGUGUCCCGGCGCGCAUCAAGAGGCUCAACGGCGACGCCUACAAGCCGCAGACGGUGUCCCUGGGCCCCUUCCACCACGGAGACCCCGACCUGCUGCCCAUGGAGCAGCACAAACGCAGGGCGCUGCUGCGCCUCCUCCGGCGGGCCGGCAGGCCGCUACGGGACCUCGUCGCCGCCGUGGGGGAGGUGGAGGAGCAGCUGCGGGCGGCGUACGUCGGCCUCGGCGACGAGUGGCGCGACGGUGGCGGGGAGCGGUUCGUGGAGAUGAUGAUCGUGGACGGCUGCUUCUUGCUGGAGGUGAUGAGGACGGCGGCGGCCGCCGGGCGGAGGUAUGCCGUUCACCCAGACUACGCGCCCAACGACCCGGUGUUCAGCCGGCACGGCUUGCUGUACAUUGCGCCGUAUGUCCAGCGCGACAUGCUCAUGGUCGAGAACCAGCUGCCCCUCCUCGUGCUCCACAGGAUCGCCGCUGCAGCUGAGGGUGGAAAAACAUCGACCUAUGCUACGAUCAACAGGAUGGUGCUCAACUUCCUUGGCGUGGCAGAUGCUGACAGGCACCCAGCGGCAGUGCCACACCUGGGGCUCCACCCACUAGACAUCUACCGCCGGAGCCUACUACUCCACACCACCGGCAGGACAGAGCGCAACAUACAGGUCGAAGAGCCGGCGGCGAAGCCCGCGGACGUGCGCUCCGCGCGGAAGCUCCACGAAGCCGGCAUCCGGUUCCGGCACAGCGGGCGGGCGGACUGCCUCUGCGACGUCCGGUUCCGGGGCGGCACCCUCACCAUGCCGCAGCUCUUCGUGGACGACUCCACCGAGUACAAGCUCCUGAACCUGAUGGCGUUCGAGGCCCUGCACGUCGGCGCCGGCAACGACGUGACCGCCUACGUCUUCUUCAUGCGGAGCGUCGUCGGCUGCGUGGACGACGUGCGGCUGCUGCGGCGCAAGGGGAUCGUCCGGAGCGAGUGGGUGGACGGCGACGAGACGGUGGUGCGGCUGCUCAACGACAUGACCAGGGACGUGGUCUGCGACGAGGCGUCGCCGCUCUGCGCCCUGCACGGCGAGGUGGAGGCCUACUGCCGGAGCAACCUGCGCGUGUUCCUGCACGUGUCGUGGUACUACCUCAAGCGCACCUACUUCGGGAACCCGUGGACGUUCCUCUCCCUCGCCGCCGGCAUCCUGCUCCUCGUCACCGACAUCAUCCAGACUGUGUAUUCCGUUCUUUCUUACGAAGUGCAGGGAAAGAGACAGUAUUACAGCCAUCACUAG
rnacentral:rRNA from 1 species